GCUCACUUCAGCUGUACAUACACUAAAGUUAGAAAGAUACAGAGAAGAUUAGCGUAGCCCUGGCACCAAGAUGUCAUACAAAUUUUUGAAGCGUUCCGUAAAAUA